rnacentral:rRNA from 1 species
AGCGACCUUGCCUCGUGGUGGGGGAUAGCCGGCCCAACGGCCGGGUAAUACCGCAUAGGGUGGUUUCUUCGCAUGGAGAGACUAGCAAAGCCCUGGAGCAAUCCAGUGGCGCCACAGGGGGGCUCGCGGCCUAUCAGCUAGUUGGGGGGGUAAUGGCCCACCAAGGCGACGACGGGUAGCUGGUCUGAGAGGAUGGCCAGCCACAUUGGGACUGAGAGACGGCCCAG